rnacentral:rRNA from 1 species
GCCCUAGUAACGGCGAGUGAAGCGGCAACAGCUCAAAUUUGAAAUCUGGCGCAAGCCCGAGUUGUAAUUUGUAGAGGAUGCUUCUAGGUAGCGACCGGUCUAAGUUCCUUGGAACAGGACGUCAUAGAGGGUGAGAAUCCCGUAUGUGACCGGCCCGCACCUUCUACGUAGCUCCUUCGACGAGUCGAGUUGUUUGGGAAUGCAGCUCUAAAUGGGAGGUAAAUUUCUUCUAAAGCUAAAUACCGGCCAGAGACCGAUAGCGCACAAGUAGAGUGAUCGAAAGAUGAAAAGCACUUUGGAAAGAGAGUUAAAAAGCACGUGAAAUUGUUGAAAGGGAAGCGCUUACAACCAGACUUCUGGGCGGUGUUCCGCCGGUCUUUUGACCGGUCUACUCGCCGUCCCGAGGCCAACAUCAUCUGGGACCGCUGGAUAAGACCUCAGGAAUGUAGCUCCCCUCGGGGAGUGUUAUAGCCUGUGGUGAUGCAGCGCGUCUCGGGUGAGGUCCGCGCUUCGGCAAGGAUGUUGGCGUAAUGGUUGUCAGCGGCCCGUCUUGAAACACGGACCAAGGAGUCUAACAUCUAUGCGAGUGUUCGGGUGUCAAACCCCUACGCGUAAUGAAAGUGAACGGAGGUGGGAAGGGCAACCUGCACCAUCGACCGAUCCUGAUGUCCUCGGAUGGAUUUGAGUAAGAGCAUAGCUGUUGGGACCCGAAAGAUGGUGAACUAUGCCUGAAUAGGGUGAAGCCAGAGGAAACUCUGGUGGAGGCUCGCAGCGGUUCUGACGUGCAAAUCGAUCGUCAAAUUUGGGU